rnacentral:rRNA from 1 species
AUGGCUGCUGGUGGCGCCGGCCGCUCCAUUGGUGAUGGGCGUGCCGGUAGACUGCUCCACGGGCGCGGCCAUCUUGGUGUGCAGCUGCAGCCUUGGCACCUCACAAGCUUCCUGGCAUCUCUCCUGGGAACCUGCGGGGCGGCCUUCAACUCCAUGGAUCUGAUGCUAGCUUGCUCAUCUAAGGUGCGUUUGGUUCAGGAACGAAGUGUAAUGGAAUGUUAUGGUUCCGUUCUACUGGAAUGGAUCGGUUCCAUCUCUAUGUUUGGUAGAGACAAUUCAAAGGAAUGGAAUGGUUAUAUUUUGAUGUUUGAUUUAAGGGAUGAAAUGAGAUGA